rnacentral:rRNA from 1 species
CCAGCAGCCGCGGUAAUUCCAGCUCCAAUAGCGUAUAUUAAAGUUGUUGCAGUUAAAAAGCUCGUAGUUGGAUUUCUGGUGGGAGCGAUCGGUCUGGCGCUUAGCGCGAGUACUUGCAUCGUCUCCGGCCAUCCUUGGGGAGAGUCUGUCUGGCAUUAAGUUGUCGGGCAGAGGAUCCUCAUCGUUUACUGUGAAAAAAUUAGAGUGUUCAAAGCAGGCUUAUGCCGUUGAAUAUAUUAGCAUGGAAUAAUAAGAUAGGACUUUGGUACUAUUUUGUUGGUUUGCGCACCAAAGUAAUGAUUAAUAGGGACAGUUGGGGGUAUUCGUAUUCCGUUGUCAGAGGU